rnacentral:rRNA from 1 species
UGCAUGUGUAAGUUUAAAGACCAAGUAGGAUGAAACUGCGGACGGCUCAUUAUAACAGUAAUAGUUUCUUUGGUUAGUAUUUACAAGGAUAACUUUGUGAAUGAUAAAGCUAAUACUUGAGACGAUCCGGGAAGUAUUUUUACUACUCGGCCGCCGGUUGCGAGAUCGGGGAAGAAUGACAUUCUCUUCUGAAAAAGGAUGCCGCGACAAUUGAGGAAAGCGACGCUUUCAACAAGUAACCAAUGGGAAUUUCUGAUCUAUCAAUUUGUUGGUAGUAUCGAGGACUACCAAGAUUAUAACGGAUAACGAGGAAUUGGGGUUCGACAUCGGAGAGGGAGCUUUACAGAUGGCUACCACUUCUAAGGAAGGCAGCAGGCGCGUAAAUUACCCACUUGCGACUCGAAGAGCUAGUGACGACAAAUAACUCUUGGCACCCCUCGGGGUGACUUGAAGGAAUGAUUUAGAAGUAAAUUCUCUAAAGAAAUCAAUUGGAGGGCAAGUCUGGUGCCAGCAGCCGCGGUAAUUCCAGCUCC